rnacentral:rRNA from 1 species
AUUGAACGCUGGCGGCAUGCCUUACACAUGCAAGUCGAACGGCAGCACGGGUGCUUGCACCUGGUGGCGAGUGGCGAACGGGUGAGUAAUACAUCGGAACACGUCCUGUAGUGGGGGAUAGCCCGGCGAAAGCCGGAUUAAUACCGCAUACGAUCUACGGAUGAGAGCGGGGGACCUUCGGGCCUCGCGCUAUAGGGUUGGCCGAUGGCUGAUUAGCUAGUUGGUGGGGUAAAGGCCUACCAAGGCGACGAUCAGUAGCUGGUCUGAGAGGACGACCAGCCACACUGGGACUGAGACACGGCCCAGACUCCUACGGGAGGCAGCAGUGGGGAAUUUUGGACAAUGGGCGAAAGCCUGAUCCAGCAAUGCCGCGUGUGUGAAGAAGGCCUUCGGGUUGUAAAGCACUUUUGUCCGGAAAGAAAUCCUUGGCCCUAAUACGGUCGGGGGAUGACGGUACCGGAAGAAUAAGCACCGGCUAACUACGUG